rnacentral:rRNA from 1 species
AGUAAAUUGGUUAAGUUAGAAAGGGCGCACGGUGGAUGCCUUGGCACUAGGAGCCGAAGAAGGACGGGACUAACACCGAUAUGCUUUGGGGAGCUGUACGUAAGCGUUGAUCCAGAGAUUUCCGAAUGGGGGAACCCACUAUCUUUAGUCGGAUAGUAUCCUUACGUGAAUACAUAGCGUGAGGAAGGCAGACCCAGGGAACUGAAACAUCUAAGUACCUGGAGGAAGAGAAAGAAAAAUCGAUUUCCUGAGUAGCGGCGAGCGAAACGGAAAGAGCCCAAACCAAGAAGCUUGCUUCUUGGGGUUGUAGGACACUCUAUACGGAGUUACAAAAGAAAGUUAUAAAUGAAGCGGUCUGGAAAGGCCCGCCAAAGACGGUAACAGCCCGGUAGUUGAAAUGGCUUUCCCUCCAGAGUGGAUCCUGAGUACGGCGGAACACGUGAAAUUCCGUCGGAAUCCGGGAGGACCAUCUCCCAAGGCUAAAUACUCCCUAGUGACCGAUAGUGAUCGAGUACAGUGAGGGAAAGGUGAAAAGCACCCCGGAAGGGGAGUGAAACAGUUCCUGAAACCGUGUGCCUACAACUAGUU